rnacentral:lncRNA from 1 species
AUUUCCAAGUUCUGCCGACGGAUAAACUCCCACAGCUUCUUCCACAAGUGUCGAUCGGGUUCCCCCGAUGGACGAAAUCCUAUCGCAUCUCCCGGGCUUCUCCAGCGAUAAGCUUCUUCGGUUGUCCAUCAAGCUGCUCCAAGUGCUCUCUAGAUUCUACUAUCGGUCAAUCUCCUACAAGGGUCAACCAUUCUCCGGACCCCUUCUAGAUCUUUUCCGACAGGAUUCGAUCGACUUCAAUCUGAAUUUCUUUCAGAACUAUGUCAGUUCAUCAGUGGCUGAACUUUCCCAACA